GACGAACGCUGGCGGCGUGCUUAACACAUGCAAGUCGAACGGAAAGGCCCUGCUUUUGUGGGGUGCUCGAGUGGCGAACGGGUGAGUAACACGUGAGUAACCUGCCCUUGACUUUGGGAUAACUUCAGGAAACUGGGGCUAAAACCGGAUAGGAGCUCCUGCGGCAUGGUGGGGGUUGGAAAGUUUCGGCGGUUGGGGAUGGACUCGCGGCUUAUCAGCUUGUUGGUGGGGUAGUGGCUUACCAAGGCUUUGACGGGUAGCCGGCCUGAGAGGGUGACCGGCCACAUUGGGACUGAGAUACGGCCCAGACUCCUACGGGAGGCAGCAGUGGGGAAUAUUGCACAAUGGGCGGAAGCCUGAUGCAGCAACGCCGCGUGCGGGAUGACGGCCUUCGGGUUGUAAACCGCUUUCGCCUGUGACGAAGCGUGAGUGACGGUAAUGGGUAAAGAAGCACCGGCUAACUACGUG
rnacentral:rRNA from 1 species